rnacentral:rRNA from 1 species
GACGAACCGUGCAAACGUUAUUCGGAUUCACUGGGCUUAAAGGGCGCGUAGGCGGGCCAUCCAGUCAGGGGUGAAAUCUUUCGGCUCAACCGGAAAAGUGCCUUUGAUACUGAUGGCCUCGAGGGAGGUAGGGGCAUGCGGAACUUCCGGUGGAGCGGUGAAAUGCGUAGAUAUCUGCAGGAACACCCGUGGCGAAAGCGGCGCGCUGGACCACUACUGACGCUGAAGAACGAAAGCUAGGGGAGCAAACAGG